rnacentral:rRNA from 1 species
CCUACGGGAGGCAGCAGUAAGGAAUAUUGGUCAAUGGAGGCAACUCUGAACCAGCCAUGCCGCGUGCAGGAUGAAGGCCCUAUGGGUCGUAAACUGCUUUUACACAAGAGAAAACCCGAGUACGUGUACUCGGUUGAUAGUAUUGUGAGAAUAAGCAUCGGCUAACUUCGUGCCAGCAGCCGCGGUAAGACGAAGGAUGCAAGCGUUAUCCGGAUUCAUUGGGUUUAAAGGGUGCGUAGGCGGACCUGUAAGUCAGUGGUGAAAUCUCUUUGCUUAACAAAGAAACUGCCAUUGAUACUGCAAGUCUAGAGUAUAGAUGACGUUGGCGGAAUAUGACAUGUAGUGGUGAAAUACUUAGAUAUGUCAUAGAACACCGAUUGCGAAGGCAGCUAACGAAACUAUAACUGACGCUGAGGCACGAAAGUGCGGGGAUCAAACAGGAUUAGAUACCCUGGUAGUCCGCACCGUAAACGAUGAUUACUCGUUGUUGGCGAUAUGACCGUCAGCGACCAAGCGAAAGCGAUAAGUAAUCCACCUGGGGAGUACGCCGGCAACGGUGAAACUCAAAGGAAUUGACGG